rnacentral:rRNA from 1 species
GACGAACGCUGGCGGCGUGCCUAAUACAUGCAAGUAGAACGCUGAAGCAGUAGCUUGCUUCUCUGGAUGAGUUGCGAACGGGUGAGUAACGCGUAGGUAACCUGCCUUGUAGCUGGGGAUAACUUUUGGAAACGAUAGCUAAUACCGCAUAAGAGUAGAUGUCGCAUGACAUUUGCUUAAAAGGUGCAACUGCACCACUACCAGAUGCACCUGCGUUGUAUUAGGUAGGUGGUGAGGUAACGCCUCACCAAGGCAACUAUACAUAGCCGAACUGAGAGGGGGGUCGGCCAACCUGGGAAUGGGACACGGCCCAGACUCCUACGGGGGGCAGCAGUAGGGAAUCUUCGGCAAUGGGCGGAAGUCUGAACGAGCAACGCCGCGUGAGUGAACAAGGUUUUCGGAUCGUAAAGCUCUGUUGUAAGGGAAGAAAGAGUGUGAGAGUGGAAAGUUCACGCUGUGACGGUAUCUUACCAGAAAGGGACGGCUAACUACGUG